UACGAAGGGUGCAAGCGUUACUCGGAAUUACUGGGCGUAAAGCGUGCGCAGGCGGUUCGUUGUGUCGGUGGUGAAAGCCCCGGGCUUAACCUGGGAAUGGCCAUGGAAACUGGCGAACUGGAGUGUGGCAGAGGGGGGUGGAAUUCCCGGUGUAGCGGUGAAAUGCGUAGAGAUCGGGAGGAACAUCAGUGGCGAAGGCGGCCAUCUGGAUCAACACUGACGCUGAGGCACGAAAGCGUGGGGAGCAAACAGG
rnacentral:rRNA from 1 species